rnacentral:rRNA from 1 species
AACAAACGCUGGCGGCGUGCCUAAUACAUGCAAGUCGAACGGGGAAAGUAGCAAUACGAGUACUAGUGGCGCACGGGUGAGGAAUACAUGGGUAAUCUGCCCUCGAGCUCGGGAUAACCAGUCGAAAGACUGGCUAAUACCGGAUAUGACCACAAGAUCUGAGGAUCAAGGGGUAAAAGGUUUUUCGCUUGAGGAUGAGCCCAUGUGGGAUUAGCUAGUUGGUGUAGGUAACGGCUCACCAAGGCGACGAUCCCUAACUGGUCUUAGAGGAUGAUCAGUCACACUGGAACUGAGACACGGUCCAGACUCCUACGGGAGGCAGCAGUAGGGAAUAUUGCACAAUGGAGGAAACUCUGAUGCAGCGACGCCGCGUGAGUGAUGAAGGCCUUCGGGUCGUAAAGCUCUGUCGUAUGGGACUAACAAAUGAAGGUACCAUGCAAGAAAGGAUACGGGCUAACUUCGUGCCAGCAGCCGCGGUAA